GGGAUGCUAAUAUCUGCAAAACAUGUUUUCCCUUAAGGUGUGCCCCUGCUUGAAGCCCUGUGGGUCCCUGUUGCCUGGAGGUGUGCAUGUGGGAGCAGAGACAGCAUGUGGCAGAGCAUGCACGUGUACCUCAGCUGCUCUUCUCUGUCUGUAAGGCAGGUCGCAGGCUUUGCCUGUCUCCUCUGGCAGCAUGAAGGAAGGGUGCAGGACCUCACCUCUGUGGACUGAUUUGUCCCCACAGGAAAAUCUCUUUGGUCUCCAAGGCUGGGAGAUGUGGGAACUCACUGGUUGGUGUAGCCUUCUCUGUGGAAAACAGAGCACGUCUUACUACAAUGGUUAAAUAAAUGAUAAUUAGAGUUGUGGAUGUUCUAAUCCAAUCGGUUGGAUGGGAUAUUUCCUUGCUGACCUCCCUUAUGGCAGCACCAAGGGGAGCAAAUUCAUAUAUCACUGCAGAAAGCUUGCCGAGUCCCCUUGAAGUGUUAUGAAAGUUGCUGUGCAAAGCUAUUUUCUUUCUGAAAGGCAAA
rnacentral:lncRNA from 1 species